rnacentral:rRNA from 1 species
GACGAACGCUGGCGGCGUGCUUAACACAUGCAAGUCGAACGGGAAUGCCUUUCUUUUGUGGGGUGCUCGAGUGGCUAACGGGUGAGUAAGACGUGUUUAAUUUGCCCUUGACUUUGGGAUCAUUUCCUGAUACUGGGUCUAAUAGCGGAUAGGAGGUUCUGCUUCCUGGUGGGUGUUGGCAAGUUUCGUUGGUUGGUUAUUGAAUCUCUGCUUAUCAGCUUGUUGGUUGGGUAGUUGCUUACCAAGGCUGUGAGGGGAAGCUGGGCUGGGGGGGUGACCGGACACAUUGGGCCUGAGAUAAGGCCCAGACUAGUACGGGAGGCAGCGGUGCGGAAGAUUGCAUAAUGGGCGGAAGCCUACUGCAGUCAAGCCGCGUGCGGGAUGACGGCCUUGGGGUUGUAAAGUGCUUUCGUCUGUGACGAAGCGUGAGUGACGGUAAUGGGUAAAGAAGCACCGGCUAACUACGUG